UGCAGGCACUGCCUGCCCAGUGACACUUGUUUAACGGCCGCGGUAUCCUGACCGUGCAAAGGUAGCAUAAUCAUUUGUUCUCUAAAUAAGGACUUGUAUGAAUGGCCACACGAGGGUUUAACUGUCUCUUACUCCCAAUCAGUGAAAUUGACCUUCCCGUGAAGAGGCGGGAAUGCCACAAUAAGACGAGAAGACCCUAUGGAGCUUUAAUUAACUAACCCAAACUUAUGGAUACUAAAUACCUACAAGGCAUAACAUUACACCAUUAUUGUGGGUUAGCAAUUUAGGUUGGGGUGACCUCGGAAUAUAAAAAAACUCCCGAGUGAUUAAAAUUUAGACCCACAAGUCAAAAUAUAACAUCACUUAUUGAUCCAAUAAUUUUUGAUCAACGGAACAAGUUACCCUAGGGAUAACAGCGCAAUCCUAUUCAAGAGUCCAUAUCGACAAUAGGGUUUACGACCUCGAUGUUGGAUCAGGACAUCCUAAUGGUGCAGCAGCUAUUAAGGGUUCGUUUGUUCAACGAUUAAAGUCCUACGUGAUCUGAUUUCAGACCGGA
rnacentral:rRNA from 1 species